rnacentral:misc_RNA from 1 species
AUCAGAGCCACUAUAUUUGCCAUUAAGAUUGUUUAUGAGGUUUAAUUGUGUGAUUGGAUCAAAUUUUGAUUGAUCUAAAGCUGUUUGGAUCUCACCAUGGUGGCGGCAUGAAUGUGAAGAACACCCCUAGGGAGUGUUUGAAUUAUGCGCUUGGUUUAUGGGCCAAUCACGCAAUUGUUGUAUAUCUUAAGGCCCAUAAUUAGACCCAUACCUAAUUAAAUUGUUUAAUUAGAAAUUUUAAUCACACAAUUAAUUUUUGAAAAUUGUUUUCAAGGUAUUAAAUUUGGAAAGGGUUUCUAAAUUUAAAUUUAUUUGAGUGAAAUUCAAAUCUGAAUUUUGAUUGAAUAUGUGAUAUUCAAUUUAA